rnacentral:misc_RNA from 1 species
GUAUUGUAUUGCGUUAAACGCGGUGCGCAUUCCAUAAGACUUUAUUACAGUGUGUGUGUAAAGAUGCAGAACCACGGAAGGGAGGCAGGGCCCCCCAGACCAUAGAACUACGGAGGGUGCACAGGUGUGAGUGGAUGUGUAAACAGAGCGUGCACAUGUCCCCGUUUGAGGACCAGCAACAACCCGUUUGACAAUUCGGUAAUGAUCCUUCCGCAGGUUCACCUACGGAAA